rnacentral:rRNA from 1 species
AUUGAACGCUGGCGGAAUGCUUUACACAUGCAAGUCGAACGGCAGCACGGGGGCAACCCUAGUGGCGAGUGGCGAACGGGUGAGUAAUACAUCGGAACGUGCCCGGUCGUGGGGGAUAACGUAGCGAAAGUUACGCUAAUACCGCAUACGAUCUGAGGAUGAAAGCGGGGGACCUUCGGGCCUCGCGCGAUCGGAGCGGCCGAUGUCAGAUUAGGUAGUUGGUGGGGUAAAGGCCUACCAAGCCGACGAUCUGUAGCUGGUCUGAGAGGACGACCAGCCACACUGGGACUGAGACACGGCCCAGACUCCUACGGGAGGCAGCAGUGGGGAAUUUUGGACAAUGGGCGCAAGCCUGAUCCAGCCAUUCCGCGUGCAGGACGAAGGCCUUCGGGUUGUAAACUGCUUUUGUAUGGAACGAAAAGGCUCUGGCUAAUACCUGGGGCUCAUGACGGUACCGUAAGAAUAAGCACCGGCUAACUACGUG